UACAGAGGGUGCAAGCGUUGUUCGGAAUUACUGGGCGUAAAGCGCGUGUAGGCUGCGGCGUAAGUCGGACGUGAAAGCCCUUGGCUUAACCAAGGAAGUGCAUCCGAUACUGCGUCGCUUGAGUGCCGGAGGGGAUGGCGGAAUUCCCGGUGUAGAGGUGAAAUUCGUAGAUAUCGGGAGGAACACCUGUGGCGAAGGCGGCCAUCUGGACGGUAACUGACGCUGAGACGCGAAAGCGUGGGUAGCAAACAGG
rnacentral:rRNA from 1 species